AUUGAACGCUGGCGGCAGGCCUAACACAUGCCAGUCGAGCGGAUGAAGGGAGCUUGCUCCUGGAUUCAGCGGCGGACGGGUGAGUAAUGCCUAGGAAUCUGCCUGGUAGUGGGGGAUAACGUCCGGAAACGGGCGCUAAUACCGCAUACGUCCUGAGGGAGAAAGUGGGGGAUCUUCGGACCUCACGCUAUCAGAUGAGCCUAGGUCGGAUUAGCUAGUUGGUGAGGUAAAGGCCUACCAAGGCGACGAUCCGUAACUGGUCUGAGAGGAUGAUCAGUCACACUGGAACUGAGACACGGUCCAGACUCCUACGGGAGGCAGCAGUGGGGAAUAUUGGACAAUGGGCGAAAGCCUGAUCCAGCCAUGCCGCGUGUGUGAAGAAGGUCUUCGGAUUGUAAAGCACUUUAAGUUGGGAGGAAGGGCAGUAAGUUAAUACCUUGCUGUUUUGACGUUACCAACAGAAUAAGCACCGGCUAACUUCGUG
rnacentral:rRNA from 1 species